GCGACGCGCGCCUUUGCGGCUGUCAACCACUUCGUCUAGCGCAGCAUUCGAAGAUCAAUCGCCCCGUCCACAAACAAAAAAGAGGGGUUGUUUUUUUUCCGCAGAAGAGCUGCAUCUUCUUGUCACCGAUCGUGCCUCGGUUGAGCUCAUUGGUACCCAUGGCCACUCUUGAAAAACAGUUGCAGUCCAGCACGCUGAGCAAGCAGUGCAGGGCAGAUCUGCUCAACCAUGUCGAGGAAGUCGAAACAAGCUCUCGGCGCCUCUCCAAGAAGAUGAUCACGCUCCCGGAUUCCAACCUCCCAUCCGCGGUCACGAUGCCGACCGACAACUCCGUGAAGCGUGGCAUUCGCGCCGCCACCGCCGGCGCUAACACGGAGCGGUCGCUGCACUACACUGCAAGAAAGCAGGAGAAGGAUGAGAUGGUUGCCAGCCGGAUCAUCUCUGACAGGAAUCUGAGCGGAACGUACUUCAAAGAUUGCUCGCACAAGUUUGUGAACGGCGCACGCAGCUGGCCUGACCCAUUCCGGUCCUCGCGCAGCCGCACAGCACUUUCGGGCAAAGAUAUGGAUUUUGUCUACCGCUAUGCCGAGGCAGCGACGGGGUCCGCAAUUGAGCGCCCGCAGCCGUCAGACGACGCCUCCGUUGCUGCGACGGCGGCGUACCGCAAGGCGUUCCGGCAGUACAAGGGAAGAGACCCCACCGCGAAGGAGAUGGAGGAGGCAGGCAGGCUGGUGUACGCUUUUGAUGAACACGGCAGCGUUGGGGUGCUUCAGAAGCCACACAGCUGCUACCCUCACACACACAUCUCGGCCGUCAAGACGCACAUCCGCACGUGCCCAAAUCAGGUGUACUUACCGGAAGUGCCUCCUGUGCGUGCCGCACGAAGCGAGUUCCCCGGACCAAUCCCAACGUGGUCGAGCACCAAGCGCACUACCACCAUGGCCACCAAUGGCACGUACCGACCUGGCCACCAUCAGGCCACGAGUCUGAAGCGGGAGGCAAUGAGUACGGUGGUGGGCUCUCGUUGAGCCUCACUUCUUUCGCUCGGUGCACUUACUACUCGAAUCUCGCCACAUGUGGUGCGUAUGCGCGCUAUAGACAGCCUCCUCUGCUGGCGUGCGUGGCUACUGUUCUCUGUGUUGCUGUGGUUACUGUUCAAGGUGAGUGGAUGUACGGUCCUCUUGUGUUCGUUUUUGCUUCUUUUGUCCCCUGUUUUCUUUGUAUCUCCCCCGUCUGGUAGACAGUGCACCACAUGUGUCGAGGAGAACUGAGCCAUCAACGUGAGGUGCUCGCACGCACCAGCCUUCGCCUGCGUGUUUGUGGCUGCGUUUAGACGUCUCUAGCGCCACGCCUCGCGCUGUUCGCCUCUCCUUUCCUAAAGUCCAUGUAUCUUAUGCGUUUUUUUUUUUUGGAGGGGAGGGGGUGGUCUGCAUGUUUCUCGUUUUCUCUGUAUUUGGAGAAUGCAACUUGACGAUGCAGAGGCUUAUGCUCAUGAAAACUGAGCGGUUGCCGUCUCGACAAGCAACCUCCCCAAUAUCCAGUUUCUUGCCCUCCGAACGAGCCGUUUGCGCGGAGGAAUUGAAUGUGUAGACUCGCCAUUGGCCAUCU
rnacentral:misc_RNA from 1 species